rnacentral:rRNA from 1 species
AACGAACGCUGGCGGCAGGCCUAACACAUGCAAGUCGAGCGAGACCUUCGGGUCUAGCGGCGGACGGGUGAGUAACGCGUGGGAACGUGCCCUUUUCUGCGGAAUAGCCUCGGGAAACUGAGCGUAAUACCGCAUACGCCCUUUGGGGGAAAGAUUUAUCGGAAAAGGAUCGGCCCGCGUUGGAUUAGGUAGUUGGUGGGGUAAUGGCCUACCAAGCCUACGAUCCAUAGCUGGUUUGAGAGGAUGAUCAGCCACACUGGGACUGAGACACGGCCCAGACUCCUACGGGAGGCAGCAGUGGGGAAUCUUAGACAAUGGGGGCAACCCUGAUCGAGCCAUGCCGCGUGAGUGAUGAAGGGCUUAGGAUUGUAAAGCUCUUUCAGCUGGGAAGAUAAUGACGGUACCAGCAGAAGAAGCCCCGGCUAACUCCGUG